GAACGUAUGGCUUAGUUGCUCAGAGCGCUUGGACGAUUUCCAAGAAACGCGGGUUUAAAUCUCGCUACGUUCA
rnacentral:tRNA from 1 species